GACGAACGCUGGCGGCGUGCUUAACACAUGCAAGUCGAACGGAAAGGCCCUGCUUGCAGGGUACUCGAGUGGCGAACGGGUGAGUAACACGUGGGUGAUCUGCCCUGCACUUCGGGAUAAGCCUGGGAAACUGGGUCUAAUACCGGAUAGGAGCCAUUUUUAGUGUGAUGGUUGGAAAGUUUUUUCGGUGUAGGAUGAGCUCGCGGCCUAUCAGCUUGUUGGUGGGGUAAUGGCCUACCAAGGCGGCGACGGGUAGCCGGCCUGAGAGGGUGGACGGCCACAUUGGGACUGAGAGACGGCCCAGACGCCUACGGGAGGCAGCAGUGGGGAAUAUUGCACAAUGGGCGCAAGCCUGAUGCAGCGACGCCGCGGGGGGGAUGACGGCCUUCGGGUUGUAAACGCCUUUCGCUAGGGACGAAGCUUUUUGUGACGGUACCUAGAGAAGAAGCACCGGCUAACUACGUG
rnacentral:rRNA from 1 species